rnacentral:rRNA from 1 species
UACGUAGGGUCCGAGCGUUGUCCGGAAUUACUGGGCGUAAAGGGCGCGUAGGCGGCCUUCUAAGUCAGACGUGAAAUCCCCCCGGCUUAACCUGGGAACUGCGUCUGAUACUGGGAGGCUUGAGUAUGGGAGAGGGAUGUAGAAUUCCAGGUGUAGCGGUGAAAUGCGUAGAUAUCUGGAGGAAUACCGGUGGCGAAGGCGGCAUCCUGGACCAUAACUGACGCUGAGGCGCGAAAGCUAGGGGAGCAAACGGG